ACAAUCACAAAAAAAGGCACGGUCUAAAACUCUUUAUAUACGGAUUUUUCCAGACGUCUAUGGGAGAAAUGAACGGGAAUUUUACUUCCGGAACCCAAGGUCUCUCGGACGAGGGGCGGGACUGUUGAGGUCUAUGGCCAGCAG